GAGGGAUCAUUACCGAGUUUACAACUCCCAAACCCCUGUGAACAUACCUAUACGUUGCCUCGGCGGAUCAGCCCGCGCCCCGUAAAACGGGACGGCCCGCCCGAGGACCCUAAACUCUGUUUUUAGUGGAACUUCUGAGUAAAACAAACAAAUAAAUCAAAACUUUCAACAACGGAUCUCUUGGUUCUGGCAUCGAUGAAGAACGCAGCAAAAUGCGAUAAGUAAUGUGAAUUGCAGAAUUCAGUGAAUCAUCGAAUCUUUGAACGCACAUUGCGCCCGCCAGUAUUCUGGCGGGCAUGCCUGUUCGAGCGUCAUUUCAACCCUCAAGCUCAGCUUGGUGUUGGGACUCGCGGUAACCCGCGUUCCCCAAAUCGAUUGGCGGUCACGUCGAGCUUCCAUAGCGUAGUAAUCAUACACCUCGUUACUGGUAAUCGUCGCGGCCACGCCGUAAAACCCCAACUUCUGAAUGUUGACCUCGGAUCAGGUAGGAAUACCCGCUGAACUUAAG
rnacentral:rRNA from 1 species